rnacentral:lncRNA from 1 species
CAAAGAACCAAACAAAGGUUGAUGCCCCAUUCUCUCUAUGCAUGUGUGACUCAUGCUCAAUUCAAAGAGGGUCCACAGGAACUGACUGCUGAGAGCCGUGGGACAGACAACACCCUACUCAGUUUUUGCACAUUCAAGCAAAAUGCUAUGUCCUUCCUGGAUGGACCAAGUCCCAUUUUUGCAGGCACUGUAUCAGGAGCAUCUGAGGAGUUGUUACUAUCUGAAACUUCUAACAUAAAUGACCAUCUUGGCUUAACUCCACCAUGCUCUCUGAAAUUCAUUUCCCAUCAUCUGUCUUUUCACCCAAGCCGAAGUGUCUGAGAGACUGAGACUUCAGAAACCCACAGAAAAGGACACAGAAAAAUGAAGCUUUUGCUUUUGGCCUGCUCACCCUCACUCUUGCUGGCAAGUUCAGCCAUCAUGAUGCCGAGGCAUUCUUUCACUAAUGUUAGAAGAUGCUUCUUUGGAAUCCAACAUAUCCUGAAGACCUGCUGAGACAUCCUGCCUAUCAGAUUCUUGGCCGUUCCAUCGGGAGACAGUCAUUGUUGGACUAGCUGGACCACAGCCUAGAAGAAUCCUUCACCACCACCACCAUCACCAUUCCCCUCCCCCGACCCUUGCUUUCAUCAGUCAUUUGCUUGGAGUUGUCUCAUUUAUUCAUCAGAGUUUGAAGGAAAGUGGAGUUUUCAUGGUGCUCAAGACUCAUUCUCACCCAUAAGCCACCACCAUGGUCAAGGAAGGCACUCCUGCUGG